UAUGAAGCGCCUGAAGAAAGGAUAAUUUUGAUGGGGUUAAAUAUGUGUUCAACACCUUCAUAA
rnacentral:tRNA from 1 species